CGGGUGAGUAACACGUGGAUAACCUACCUAUAAGACUGGGAUAACUUCGGGAAACCGGAGCUAAUACCGGAUAAUAUAUUGAACCGCAUGGUUCAAUAGUGAAAGACGGUUUUGCUGUCACUUAUAGAUGGAUCCGCGCUGCAUUAGCUAGUUGGUAAGGUAACGGCUUACCAAGGCAACGAUGCGUAGCCGACCUGAGAGGGUGAUCGGCCACACUGGAACUGAGACACGGUCCAGACUCCUACGGGAGGCAGCAGAG
rnacentral:rRNA from 1 species